GGCCGGUAGCUCAACCUGGCUAGAGCAUCUGGCUUUUAACCAGAGGGUUGCGGGUUCAAAUUCACAAACGUGAUUGAAAGUCCCGUCCGGCCCG
rnacentral:tRNA from 1 species